AUUGAACGCUAGCGGCAUGCUUUACACAUGCAAGUCGAACGAGUGGCGGACGGGUGAGUAAUAUAUCGGAACGUGCCCAGUUGAGGGGGAUAACUACUGGAAAGGGUGGCUAAUACCGCAUUCUAUUGGAGGGGCCGAUAUCGGAUUAGCUAGUUGGUGGGGUAAUGGCUCACCAAGGCAACGAUCCGUAGCUGGUUUGAGAGGAUGACCAGCCACACGGGGACUGAGACACGGCCCAGACUCCUACGGGAGGCAGCAGUGGGGAAUUUUGGACAAUGGGGGAAACCCUGAUCCAGCCAUGCCGCGUGUAUGAGAAGGCCUUCGGGUUGUAAAGUACUUUUGGCAGAGAGGCGGUAUCUGCAGAAGAAGCACCGGCUAACUACGUGCCAGCAGCCGCGGUAAUAC
rnacentral:rRNA from 1 species